GACGAACGCUGGCGGCGUGCUUAACACAUGCAAGUCGAACGGAAAGACCCUGCUUUUGUGGGGUGCUCGAGUGGCGAACGGGUGAGUAACACGUGAGUAACCUGCCCUUGACUUUGGGAUAACUUCAGGAAACUGGGGCUAAUACCGGAUAGGAGCUCCUGCUGCAUGGUGGGGGUUGGAAAGUUUCGGCGGUUGGGGAUGGACUCGCGGCUUAUCAGCUUGUUGGUGGGGUAGUGGCUUACCAAGGCUUUGACGGGUAGCCGGCCUGAGAGGGUGACCGGCCACAUUGGGACUGAGAUACGGCCCAGACUCCUACGGGGGGCAGCAGUGGGGAAUAUUGCACAAUGGGCGGAAGCCUGAUGCAGCAACGCCGCGUGCGGGAUGACGGCCUUCGGGUUGUAAACCGCUUUCGCCUGUGACGAAGCGUGAGUGACGGUAAUGGGUAAAGAAGCACCGGCUAACUACGUG
rnacentral:rRNA from 1 species